rnacentral:tRNA from 1 species
UGGGUUGUAGCUCAGUGGAAGAGCACUUGCCUCACAUGCAAGAGGUCCUGGGUUGGAUCCUCAGCACCACAU